rnacentral:rRNA from 1 species
AUGCUGCAAACACGGCCUGCGAUCUUCAAUCCAAUACUUUGUGGAGCACGCCUACUGCAGCAAUGGGCGGUUGACAUGUACAUCAAGAUUGAGAGCUGUCGGUUGAGGUGGUACAGGAAGAACCAGACGCAGAUCCGUGCCGAUUUGUAUAAAGGAGUUGUUGAUGCGAUCACAUCGGGUGAGACGCGAGCAAGCGCUGUUGGGGUAAGAAUAGUGCUCCCUGGAACUUACCCUGGUGGCGACCGCGACAUGAAGAAGAGACAUAUGGAUGCCAUGGCAAUUGUCCAUACAUACGGGAAGCCUGACAUCUUCUUGACCAUGACUUGCAACCCUAAAUGGGAAGAGAUAACAAAUGAGUUGCUUCCUGGACAGACGGCGCAAGACCGACCUGAUAUUGUGGCUCGCGUGUUCUAUGGCAAACUAGAGGCUAUGAAAGAUAUGUUGCUCAAGAAGAUGGUCCUGGGUGUUGUUGUUGCUUAUGUUUACGUAGUUGAGUUCCAGAAGAGAGGCCUCCCCCACGCACAUUUUUUGUUGAUCAUGGAUUCAACGUAUAAGCUUCUUGUCCCAGAGCAGUAUGACCGACUCAUUUCCGCAGAGCUCCCAGACAAGCAAAAGUAUCCUGAAUUGUAUGCAAUGGUGGUAAAACAUAUGAUGCACGGACCAUGCGGUGCUCUCAACCCGAAGAAUGUUUGCAUGCAAGAUAAUGAAUGCAAGUGCAGAUACCCGCGGCCGUUCAAUGAGAACACGAUACAAGGCAAGGACUCAUACCCAGUUUAUCGGCGUAGAGACGAUGGUAGACGCGCUAAGGUUCGAGGGAAAAUGUUGGACAACCGAUGGGUUGUGCCAUAUAACCCUUACCUUCUGCGGAUGUUUAAUUGCCACAUCAACGUCGAGGUCUGCUCUAGCAUAAAGGCUGUAAAAUACAUUUAUAAGUACAUUUAUAAGGGCCAUGAUAAGGCUUCUUUCAGCAUCGACCAGCCAGACGCUGAUGGUAACAUUGAUGAGAUCAAGAGAUACGUUGACGCAAGAUGGGUCACCCCUCCGGAGGCUAUGUGGAGGAUAUUUGGCUUCCCACUGUGUGCCAAUUACCCGCCUGUCUUGCAGUUGCCUCUUCAUCUCCCGAAUAUGCACAGGGUUGCAUUCAAUGCACAGGCUGACUUGAAGAAUGUUGUAUCCUCCGAGAAUGCUUCAAAAUCCAUGUUAACGGAGUAUUUCAAAGCAAACGAACUACACCCUUGGGCAAGGCAUAUAUUGUACAAGGAUUUCCCCGGAAGCUUCACGUGGGAGAAGAAAAAGAAGAUAUGGAAGAGGCGGAUGGAGCGUUUUCAACUAGGUCGUAUCGUGUCUGCCAAUCCUGCCGAGGGGGAGCGAUACUACCUUCGUGUGUUGUUGAACCAUGUUCCGGGGAAAACAUCAUGUGAGGACUUGCUCACCGUCGACGGCGUGGUAUGUGGGAGCUUUAGAGAGUCCGGUGAAAGGUUGGGACUCAUCGAGGCAGACAACACGCUCGACGACUGUCUUACUGAGGCGGAGCAGUGGGCUAUGCCAUGUUCUCUUAGGAGGCUCUUUGCAACAAUCUUGGUGCACUGCGAGCCAGGCGACGUGCGCGGGUUAUGGGAUAGACACCUCGAGCCUAUGUCCGAUGACUACCGUCGGACACGCACGUCCCCGAACGAGGUGGAGCAAAUGGUGUUGCUUGACAUUAGGGGUAUGUUGCAGUCUAUGGGUAAAGACAUUAUUGAUUUUGCUCUUCCAACGAUCGAUGAUGCAUUUGACCCAACCGAGGGCGAGGCCAGAGAGAUCAUCGAGGAAUCAACCAUUGAGUUUGACGAAAGUGACACUAAAUUGUCAUCUUCCCUGAAUUUUGAGCAAAGGGCUGCAUACGACGAGAUACUAGCGGCUGUUGAACACGGUGAUGGGGGUAUAUUCUUUGUUGAUGGCCCUGGAGGUACGGGGAAGACCUUCCUUUACAGGGCGAUGCUCGCCAAGGUGAGGCGCGAGGGCAAGAUUGCUAUCGCUACCGCGACGUCGGGCGUCGCUGCUUCUAUCAUGCCUGGCGGCAGGACUGCCCACUCGAGAUUCAAAAUCCCACUGAGUUGUGAUGAUGGAGCCUCGUGCAGCUUCACCAAGCAGAGUGGGACCGCCAAGCUGCUAAGGAUGGCCUCAUUGAUACUAUGGGACGAGGCCAGCAUGACUAAGCGACAAGCGGUUGAGGCAUUAGACAAUAGCAUGCGCGACAUCAUGGGAAUACGUGACCGACCCUUUGGAGGAAAGACUGUUGUUUUUGGCGGGGACUUUAGGCAGGUGCUUCCGGUCGUCAGAAGGGGGUCACGGGGCCAGAUAAUUGAUGCAAGCCUCCGAAGUUCUCAUCUAUGGAAGAGUAUGCGGCAGCUUCAGCUCAUCACCAACAUGAGGGCUCAUAAUGACAAGUGGUUUGCAAAUUACUUGCUCAGGGUCAGUAAUGGCACAGAGGAAGCCGACGAUCAAGGCAACAUACUACUCCCUGAUGAUAUCUGUCUGCCAUCUACAGGCGAGGUUGACGACCUGGAGAAGCUGAUUGACCACGUGUUUCCGAGUCUAGAUGACAACAUGGCAGAUUCGAGUUACAUGACAUCUCGCGCAAUCCUUUCCACGACAAAUGACAACGUCGACAAGAUAAACAUCCGCAUGAUAGAGCGUUUCCACGGAGAUGAAGUAAUCUACCAUAGCUUUGACAGUGCGGAGGAUGACCCAUAUGGCUACUACGCUCCUGAGUUUCUG